rnacentral:rRNA from 1 species
AUGAUGGGCAACACCAGGGAGCUGCCGGCACCACAGAGAGGCGACAGUUGGAAUACUUAUGAAUGUGCAACUGUGCUUUGUGCCGUUGACGGUUGCGACCAUGGGGCUUGCCAAUCGGGCCCAUUUUUUGUGGUCUCCAUCAGCCUUGACGAGGAUAAGGUGGCCACGACAAUCAUGUAUUCGUCGGACACGGGUACUUGGAGCACCCCGGCCUCCCUUGAUCUAGGUUUUAUUGAGAGUGAUAUCAGUAUCUCUUGGAUGCACGGUGUGCUCUCCGGAGGCGCGCUACAUUUUAUCUUGAUGCACGACGAUGCUCGUCUUGGUGUACUUAAGUAUGACUUGGGGACGUCUUGCCUAUCAGAGAUUGAGCCGGCGUUUGAGAUUCAGAGUGCCCGCUUUGACUCUCAUGCCCUGAUUGCACCGGAGGACGGCCAACUGGGGAUUGCGAGGCUCAGUGGUUUCAAUCUCUCCGUGUACUGGAGGGAGGUUUGUCACGACCAGGUUGCAACGUGGACAAAAUCUGAAGUCAUUGACCUAAAGAAGCAUCUCCUUGCAAGCAAUCCCAUGAUCUCACAUACCGAGUUGGUUGGCUCUGUUGAAAGAACGACUAUCAUCUUUGCAACCACAAAUAUUGGCACCUACAUGAUUGAUCUCAAGUCACUAAGGUCGAAGAAGCUCACGAGCGAGCUUCGUCUUUUCAACCAUCCAUGGGCUCUGUUCCCCUAUUUUAGCUUCUACAAUCCCCAGCGGGACAAGUUGAGAACGCGGUCGAUUUAG